GGCUCAGAUUGAACGCUGGCGGCAUGCCUUACACAUGCAAGUCGAACGGCAGCACGGGGCAACCUGGUGGCGAGUGGCGAACGGGUGAGUAAUGCAUCGGAACGUGCCAUUGAGUGGGGAUAACGUAGCGAAAGUUGCGCUAAUACCGCAUAUUCUGUGAGCAGGAAAGCAGGGGACCGCAAGGCCUUGCGCUCUUUGAGCGGCCGAUGUCAGAUUAGCUAGUUGGUGAGGUAACGGCUUACCAAGGCGACGAUCUGUAGCGGGUCUGAGAGGAUGAUCCGCCACACUGGAACUGAGACACGGCCCAGACUCCUACGGGAGGCAGCAGUGGGGAAUUUUGGACAAUGGGCGCAAGCCUGAUCCAGCCAUGCCGCGUGAGUGAAGAAGGCCUUCGGGUUGUAAAGCUCUUUCGGCCGGGAAGAAAUCGCAUGGGUUAAUACCCUGUGUGGAUGACGGUACCGGAAUAAGAAGCACCGGCUAACUACGUG
rnacentral:rRNA from 1 species